rnacentral:rRNA from 1 species
CUGGCUCAGGACGAACGCUGGCGGCGUGCUUAACACAUGCAAGUCGAACGGUGAAGCCAUUCGGGGUGGAUCAGUGGCGAACGGGUGAGUAACACGUGAGCAACCUGCCCCUGGCUCUGGGAUAACCAUCGGAAACGGUGGCUAAUACUGGAUACGACCCACGAUCGCAUGGUGUGUGGGUGGAAAGUUUUUCGGCUGGGGAUGGGCUCGCGGCCUAUCAGCUUGUUGGUGGGGUGAUGGCCUACCAAGGCGACGACGGGUAGCCGGCCUGAGAGGGCGACCGGCCACACUGGGACUGAGACACGGCCCAGACUCCUACGGGAGGCAGCAGUGGGGAAUAUUGCGCAAUGGGCGGAAGCCUGACGCAGCGACGCCGCGUGAGGGAUGACGGCCUUCGGGUUGUAAACCUCUUUCAGCAGGGAAGAAGCGAAAGUGACGGUACCUGCAGAAGAAGCACCGGCUAACUACGUGCCAGCAGCCGCGGUAAUACGUAGGGUGCAAGCGUUGUCCGGAAUUAUUGGGCGUAAAGAGCUCGUAGGCGGUUUGUCGCGUCUGCUGUGAAAACUCAGGGCUUAACUCUGAGCUUGCAGUGGGUACGGGCAGACUUGAGUGCGGUAGGGGAGACUGGAAUUCCUGGUGUAGCGGUGAAAUGCGCAGAUAUCAGGAGGAACACCGGUGGCGAAGGCGGGUCUCUGGGCCGUAACUGACGCUGAGGAGCGAAAGCAUGGGGAGCGAACAGGAUUAGAUACCCUGGUAGUCCAUGCCGUAAACGUUGGGCGCUAGGUGUGGGGUCCAUUCCACGGAUUCCGUGCCGCAGCUAACGCAUUAAGCGCCCCGCCUGGGGAGUACGGCCGCAAGGCUAAAACUCAAAGGAAUUGACGGGGGCCCGCACAAGCGGCGGAGCAUGCGGAUUAAUUCGAUGCAACGCGAAGAACCUUACCAAGGCUUGACAUGCGCGGUGGAAUCCCAGAGAUGGGGUGUCAUUUAGUUGGUCGCGUACAGGUGGUGCAUGGUUGUCGUCAGCUCGUGUCGUGAGAUGUUGGGUUAAGUCCCGCAACGAGCGCAACCCUCGUUCCAUGUUGCCAGCAAUUCGGUUGGGGACUCAUGGGAGACUGCCGGGGUCAACUCGGAGGAAGGUGGGGAUGACGUCAAAUCAUCAUGCCCCUUAUGUCUUGGGCUUCACGCAUGCUACAAUGGCCAGUACAGAGGGCUGCGAUACCGUGAGGUGGAGCGAAUCCCAAAAAGCUGGUCUCAGUUCGGAUCGGGGUCUGCAACUCGACCCCGUGAAGUCGGAGUCGCUAGUAAUCGCAGAUCAGCAACGCUGCGGUGAAUACGUUCCCGGGCCUUGUACACACCGCCCGUCACGUCAUGAAAGUCGGUAACACCCGAAGCCGGUGGC